UAUAAAACAGGAGUAAGCAUCCAGCAUCUCUUCAUUGCGGUAGUAUACUUGUUCGCGAUUAGGCAGAAAGAAACCGAUCAUUGCAUCCAUUUGACGCAUUUUGACAUAAUUAUUAACUCGCAGAAUUGUACUGCUUCAUCAUUUUUUAAAUCGCGCAUAGUGGAAGAAAGAAUACGUAUUAUAAUCUAUUAUUAAGAAUAUUGGAGUGUCCAAGAUAAAAUGUCACAUCGUGUGCUACGGCUCAGAAAGUGUGAAAUUUGAAAGUCACAGUAAAAGAAAACGCGUCGAAUCAGUGACACAACGCAUCUCAUUAUAUGGUCUUUCGAGCACUUAUUUAAUACUACCAAAGGCCCUGCAUUAUUACAGAUAUCACAGAUCAAAAUAAUUAUCAUCACGGGAAGAUUAUCAUAAAAACAAUCAAUAUUUCCAGGAGAUGCAAUUAAAAUGAAGCUAAUCUUUUUAUUACUGUUAUUGAUCAGUUCCUCUUUUUGCGUACCUUGGCUCAAUUUAUGGUUUCCCCGACAAUCUUCAUACGACAAUCGAAAUAUCGAAUAUGCGAACGGACAAGAUGGCCCGUAUCAGCAAUAUCGUCAGGGCAGAGGCGGUAAAGAACGUUGGAAGCAGAUCUGCAAGACGAUAAAUCCGGAUUCGUAUGCAUUCCCAGGACGCGUGCCUUAUCCUGCCGCACCUGUCUGCCCCUGGUAAAAGAAACUUUCGAUCAACCCUUAUAUCUGUUGUGCCAAACACAAACAAGAACUCGUCAUGCGUUAAAAAUAUGAAUUUAUUGUAACAAUCUAUAGCUUCAGACACAUUAUACAUCCACUGAUUAUGAGUAUUUCAGUCGGUAUGUUUAUGUGUGUGUGUGUAUAUGUGUGUCCAUAUGUGUGAUAAUAUUAGCAAAGGAAUAUACAUGAAUAUUCGCGCUAUUACAAAUAGCUACUUACUAUAACGCAUUCACUGUGUAAAGUAUGAAGCGAAAAAAUAAUUGUUUGCAUGUCGCAUUUUCAUACACGAAUUUUAUUAUUGUUUUAGCCUCGUUUCUUGGUCAGUAUUUUAUGUCGGAUUUAAAAAAAAAAAAAAAAAAA